AACUUUAGUCAAAAGUGAUCUCUUCUAAAUUUCUUAGGAUGGAAGAUUCAGGAAAAACAAGACAUCAUUUCAGUUAAUAAGAAUAGCCAGGCAGCACUGGGUGAAAGCACAGGGGUUCCCAAAGAAAUGCCAAGAUGCCCUCAUGCAGCCUUACCAGAAUACCAAGGAAUAGGUGCCCUCCCCAGUCCCUUUGCUCAACCAAGCUCAGGCUCCCACACCACACUGCCACCAGGUACACAGUAGGGAGAACUCGCCUAUUGGACUGACGCCAAGACCCUGCGCUGGGUUCUGGUAAGAGAAAGAAAUUCAAUUCGAAAUAGAAGCAGAAAGGACAAACCACCACAGGAAGAAUACAAAAGGAAGGCCAGAAGCAAACACAGACAUCCAGGACAGCUUCAAAAGUUAUUGUUGAAUUUAUCAUAGACUUAAAAGGGAGAGCUGUAUGUAGUGAUAGAUUCAGUUGCACAUACCAUCCUCUUUUAUGUUCUCCUUUAUAUAUGAAAAUUCUCAUUUUAUUUAGUGUCAAAUUCAGUUUUUUUUUAAUUUAAAGAAAACAGAGCGAGUAUCCAAUGGGGAUGAGAAAGCAGGAAACAUGAAAAGCUG